rnacentral:lncRNA from 1 species
GGAAACUGGAUGUUCUCCUAAAACAGACCUUGGGAGAAAGCGCUUUCACCUCCUCACCACAGACACUCUCGACUGUGGACUCAGGACACUAAGCCAGAAAGGUGACGAUUUCCUUCUUGAACCCGGCCUGCAUCAGCAGCUCAGACCCAGGGCUCCGGGUCCUUUGCUCUAUGUCCAGUGCUCUUUUUGCUCCCUCACACACUUAGCGAUGGCAGUGUUCUUAGUAUACUCAAAGAGCUUUGUAAUGAAUUAGAGCAGCCAUUCCCAACCUUCCUAGUGCUGCGGUCCUUUAAUACAGUUUCUUAAGUUGUGGCGAACCAUCCCCCCCACCCCCAACCAUAACAUUAUUCUUGCUGCUGCUGUUAUGAAUCGUAAUGAAACAUUUGAUCUGCAGUACAUCUGAUAUGUGAUUCCCGAGAAAGGGCCAUCAUAUUCCAAGGGAUCGGGACCCACAGCGUGAGAAGCCCUGAACUAGAGAUCCGCCUAAACUGAGAAACAACCUAGCACCUAUCCCAGCCCAUCAAUGUUGUAUAUGGCAACAGAUUCAAAAGCCCAGACUAAAACAUACUCACCAUCCAUGUUACCAGCUCUCACCAUGGGGCAGCAAUGUGGAUUUAGUAAGCAUAGCCCACGGGCACUCAUUUUGAAGACACUAGGAGAACUUCAAAGCCAGGUUUGUUCUUCUGCCUCUGGUGACAUUUUUAAAAUUUCAGCACUGUUUUUUUUUUUAAUUGAUUCGUCGGUCCUUAUAUUUGCUUUAGGAACCUGACAAGACUGACUAGCCAUCUCUAGCAUUCAGGAGAAGGCAGCAGCUGGCAUCAAUGGUGUGGUGAGGAGAGAAUCAAGUUUCCUUCUCCAGUUCAAACAGACGAAAGUGAAGCGACAUAGGCUCAAGGACAGGGUCACUGGGCUAGCGCCACACCAUGGAGCCAAACCCCGAGCCUUCUAAAUUGUGAGCUGGGCAUGGUGGUUCACCCCAGGAAUCGCAGCACUGAGGGAU